rnacentral:lncRNA from 1 species
AAAAACAUGGGCUUGUAGAAUAAGGUUUGCCUAAUUCAGAGCAGGAAGGAUAAUGAAAAGACAAGAACCCUAUCUCUAUGUUCUAAUUCCACCUAUAUCACAACACAUCACCUCCUUCUCCACCUAUAUCACAACACAUCACCUCCUUCUCUGGGGAAAGGAAGAAUCACCCCACAGUAUAUAGUCCUCAUAACUUUGUAAGCUAGACUCCAAUUCCACCAAAUUGGAUAAGAAUCACCAA